AACGCAGGAGACAAACGUUAUCCGGAGUUACUGGGCGUAAAGGGCGUGUAGGUGGUUUCGUAAGUCUGGCGUGAAAUUUUUCGGCUUAACCGGGAAAGGUCGUCGGAUACUGCAGAACUAGAGGACGGUAGAGGCGUGUGGAAUUCCGGGUGUAGUGGUGAAAUGCGUAGAGAUCCGGAGGAACACCAGUGGCGAAGGCGACACGCUGGGCCGUACCUGACACUGAUGCGCGACAGCAUGGGGAGCAAACAGG
rnacentral:rRNA from 1 species